AGGCUUAAUACAUGCAAGUCGAGCGGUCUCUUUCGGGAGACAGCGGCGGACGGGUUAGUAACGCGUGGGAACGUGCCCUUUAGUACGGAAUAGCCAUUGGAAACGAUGAUUAAUACCGUAUACGCCCUAUGGGGGAAAGAUUUAUCGCUAAAGGAUCGGCCCGCGUUAGAUUAGGUUGUUGGUGGGGUAAUGGCCUACCAAGCCUACGAUCUAUAGCUGGUUUGAGAGGAUGAUCAGCAACACUGGGACUGAGACACGGCCCAGACUUCUACGGAAGGCAGCAGUAGGGAAUCUUGGACAAUGGGCGAAAGCCUGAUCCAGCCAUGCCGCGUGAGUGAUGAAGGCCCUAGGGUUGUAAAACUCUUUCGCCAGGGAAGAUAAUGACGGUACCGGUAAAGAAACCCCGGC
rnacentral:rRNA from 1 species